UCCAGCCACCAUCCACCAGAGGAGAGGCCAAAGACAGCGCUUAGAUGAAAGGCAACUAGAAUCAAAGUUUUGAGCCGAAAUACAUUUUUGAAGGCUUUUCUUUUUUAAACUAAUUAAACAAGUAUAGAAGUUAUUCAGUAGAGUUUCUUUUUUUAAAGAGAUUAGCAUGGCAUGUCUUUCCUCUUAAGAAAGUCUUGAAUAAUUUAAUUAGAAUUACACCAAAGUCAUGAGUAUGUGCUAUUUAUGGGGGAAUCAUGGCUGAAUUAAAACCCAAAUGACAAUGUUAAAAAUAAAGUAUCUUCAGACACCGUAUUCGAUGGAUAAGAAAAACUUGACUUCAACUCACAGAUUAGGUAGUUUCGAAGGAAGGAGGAGGGGGCCAAACCAACUCCUGGGAUUUUGUUUUUCUUAAGAUGACCGGGCCUGGGCACAUUUGUUUCUUGCUACAAAAAGUGCUAAUAAUUGAAAAUGAGGAUAAGAUCGCUGUUUGAUUUUAUUUCUAUUUUGUCACUGGGAGACCUCUUGGUACCCGGAAGCCUGGCUCAGCGCAUUUUUUUUUCCCCAGUCUCUUUACUGCAUUUAACACGUUCCCCACACGUGUGUAGACUCUUUGAUCGGCGCAGAGGGGCUAAGCAGCAGGGCCAGCCCAGAGGAAGCUGACCAGCCAACCCCGAGAGAGCAAAGUGGAGCCAGGGAAACGCUGCUCCCUCCGCGAGCAGCCAGCGAGCGAGUCUCCUUGGACAGGGUUACUCUGAGCUGAGAUAAAGCAAGAAUCCCUUUGAAAGGGUACUGCGCCUUUGGAGGCCGUCCACGAGCCUCCUUAGCGAUGAGACAGCGCGGGGGUAGGGGGCGGGAAUAUUAACGCUAAGUGAUUCCCCCGGUAACAGCAGCAUCGCUCCCUGGGCCCACCGCAAGGUCUCCUCGCUGAAAAGACGUGUCGCUCGCCAGAAGGCAAUCCCAUUAGAGGGAAGUUACAGGUCUCUCGCCUCGCAGCCACACGGAGACGGAGAGCUUAAUAAGUUCUGAAGCGCUUGCACACACCUCCGGCUGCGCCCGGGGCAGGACUGCCACCGCUCCGAGUCCCGAGUGCGCGCGCCCCGGCUCCCGGUCCGGAGCCCCUCUGCGUCCCCAAGAUCUGCUCUCCGGGGACAGCUGCUGUUUUGGGGGCGACGCUAAGCUGCGUGGAGGCACAGCUGGGCGCCCCCAAGAGCCCCCCGGCUGCAGGGCGCCCGGUCCGAGCGGGCUGGCGAGCGCGCACCGACCUACCUUCUGCGGGGGCGUCCCGAUCAGCAUCUCCAGGCCUCCUUGGAGAAGGCUGACUCCAGGCUUGGAACAGAAACCCAACAAGAUGACCCUGGGACAUUCUGUCAUACCAGAAAAUCCUGUGCUCUUCGUCACGGGGCUUGGGCCACCCCUUUGAUGUGGAUUUUCUGAAGAUCACAGGAUGGUCGAGCUGGGAAGGACCUCCAGAGGAACACCUGCCGGGGAGAGCCUACCAACAGCGUCCACAGAUCCACAUCGCUCCUUUAAAAGACAUAUGUUGAGUGCCCGUCUGUGUCAGAUGCCACAUUACAGCCAGAGCCACAUGGACCAAUAAGACCAGACAGCCCCUUCCAUCAGAGACCACAGACAGACUGUAAAUAUACUUCUUUUUUGGAGACACCACUCCAGCUUCUGAGUGGAGGAGAGUUGAGGGCAGUGAGCCUGGAGACGGAGACCAAUUUGGAGGUCACGGCAGGAGUCCGUGAGGAUGAUGGCAACGGGCGCUGAAAAGGAGAGUUUAGCGUUUCGUGUUGAGAAGUUAAAUCUGCACAACAUAGGGUAGAAGGAUGAUAGGGCUCACAUUAGCACACAGUAUACAGACAUCUGUGUUAUCAUGGCUUCUGUGUGCCCGAGGCUGGUGCCCGUCCAAUUUCAGAGCUGAGCCACAAAUCCCAUCUCACCUUGAUCCUCAAACAGUGGGAGGCGGGGGUGGCGGAUGUCCCUGUUAAUGAGGGGAUGCUGAGGGACAGGAGCAAUGAGCUCCCACCACAUCGUGGACCCUCUUAGCUCUAACUCACAUCCUCUGACUUAUUCUCCGAGGUGGGCAUCCUGUGCUCAGGCUGUGGAGAUGGGCACCCAGGCAGGGUCGAAGGUCAGCCUGAGAUCACGGCCAGUAACUAGCCAACCUGAUAUGAAUCCGGUCCAUAAACUGCCCAAGCCUAUGUUCUUUUUCCUAAACCAUGUUGCCUUCUUUAUUUUUUUAAAAUUUUAUUGACAUAUAA